rnacentral:sRNA from 2 species
AUAUCUCUCUGUACGGGAAGGAUGAGAAGCUUCGACUAAGGUUCGAUUCGAGCGCAGCGAGAAAGCGUUGCCGCAGGCAACGACCCGAAGGGCGAAGCGCGCAGCGCUGAGUCAUC